GCUGAGGUAGCUCAGUCGGUAGAGCAUGAGGAUCUUAAUCACAGGGUUGUGGGUUCGAGCCCCAAAUUGGGCA